rnacentral:rRNA from 1 species
CUUCGGAGGCACCUGCACAGGUGCUGCAUGGCUGUCGUCAGCUCGUGUCGUGAGAUGUUGGGUUAAGUCCCGCAACGAGCGCAACCCUUAUCCCUAGUUGCCAUCAGGUAAAGCUGGGAACUCUGGGGAGACUGCCGGUGAUAAACCGGAGGAAGGCGGGGAUGACGUCAAGUCCUCAUGGCCCUUACAUCCCGGGCUACACACGUGCUACAAUGGCAGGUACAGAGGGCUGCGAAGCCGCGAGGUGGAAGCGAAAUCCCAGAAAACCCGUCUCAGUCCGGAUUGAAGUCUGCAACUCGACUUCAUGAAGGCGGAAUCGCUAGUAACCGCGAAUCAGCAGGUCGCGGUGAAUACGUUCCCGGGCCUU